rnacentral:rRNA from 1 species
AACGAACGCUGGCGGCAGGCUUAACACAUGCAAGUCGAACGCCCCGCAAGGGGAGUGGCCGACGGGUGAGUAACGCGUGGGAACAUACCCUUUUCUACGGAAUAGCUCUGGGAAACUGGAAUUAAUACCGUAUACGCCCUACGGGGGAAAGAUUUAUCGGGGAAGGAUUGGCCCGCGUUGGAUUAGCUAGUUGGUGGGGUAAAGGCCUACCAAGGCGACGAUCCAUAGCUGGUCUGAGAGGAUGAUCAGCCACAUUGGGACUGAGACACGGCCCAAACUCCUACGGGAGGCAGCAGUGGGGAAUAUUGGACAAGGGGCGCAAGCCUGAUCCAGCCAUGCCGGGUGAGUGAUGGGGGCCUUAGGGUUUUAAAGCUCUUUCACCGGUGAAAAUAAUGACGGUAGUCGGAGAAGAAGCCCCGGCUACCUUCGU